GGAUUUUACUAACCUCUGUGGAUCCGUAGGAGGUCAGUAGUGAACCAUAUAACUUAUAUUCUGAGGACAUUUCGUAGAAAAACGUUUUAAUUCCGAUGACGAAGUUCGACGUUCAUGAAAACUUACAAGGUAAAGAAAACUGACUCAAACAUUUAAAUCGUAUGCAGUUAUUUUACACCGAAAAGACUUUCCUUAAUUAACUCUACCAACAUGUCAAUCCUCCC
rnacentral:lncRNA from 1 species